rnacentral:rRNA from 1 species
GCCUGACGGAGCAUGCCGCGUGAGUGAUGAAGGUUUUCGGAUCGUAAAGCUCUGUUGCCAGGGAAGAACGCUUGGGAGAGUAACUGCUCUCAAGGUGACGGUACCUGAGAAGAAAGCCCCGGCUAACUACGUGCCAGCAGCCGCGGUAAUACGUAGGGGGCAAGCGUUGUCCGGAAUUAUUGGGCGUAAAGCGCGCGCAGGCGGUCAUGUAAGUCUGGUGUUUAAUCCCGGGGCUCAACCCCGGAUCGCACUGGAAACUGUGUGACUUGAGUGCAGAAGAGGAGAGUGGAAUUCCACGUGUAGCGGUGAAAUGCGUAGAGAUGUGGAGGAACACCAGUGGCGAAGGCGACUCUCUGGGCUGUAACUGACGCUGAGGCGCGAAAGCGUGGGGAGCAAACAGGAUUAGAUACCCUGGUAGUCCACGCCGUAAACGAUGAGUGCUAGGUGUUAGGGGUUUCGAUACCCUUGGUGCCGAAGUUAACACAUUAAGCACUCCGCCUGGGGAGUACGGUCGCAAGACUGAAACUCAAAGGAAUUGACGGGGACCCGCACAAGCAGUGGAGUAUGUGGUUUAAUUCGAAGCAACGCGAAGAACCUUACCAGGUCUUGACAUCCAACUAACGAGGCAGAGAUGCGUUAGGUGCCCUUCGGGGAAAGUUGAGACAGGUGGUGCAUGGUUGUCGUCAGCUCGUGUCGUGAGAUGUUGGGUUAAGUCCCGCAACGAGCGCAACCCUUGAUCUUAGUUGCCAGCACUUCGGGUGGGCACUCUAAGGUGACUGCCGGUGACAAACCGGAGGAAGGUGGGGAUGACGUCAAAUCAUCAUGCCCCUUAUGACCUGGGCUACACACGUACUACAAUGGCCGGUACAACGGGCAGUGAAACCGCGAGGUGGAACGAAUCCUA